rnacentral:misc_RNA from 1 species
UACGGAGGGUGCAAGCGUUAAUCGGAAUCAUUGGGCGUAAAGGGCGCGCAGGCGGUCCGGCAAGUCCGACGUGAAAUCCCGGGGCUCAACCCCGGAACUGCGUUGGAAACUGUCGGACUUGAGUGUGAGAGAGGUCCGUGGAAUUCCGGGUGUAGGGGUGAAAUCCGUAGAUAUCCGGAGGAACACCAGCGGCGAUAGCGACGGACUGGAUCACAACUGACGCCGAGGCGCGAAAGCGUGGGGAGCGAACAGG